rnacentral:rRNA from 1 species
ACUCCUACGGGAGGCAGCAGUGGGGAAUAUUGCACAAUGGGCGCAAGCCUGAUGCAGCAACGCCGUGUGAGUGAAGAAGGUUUUCGGAUCGUAAAACUCUGUCCUAAGGGAAGAAACAAAUGACGGUACCUUAGGAGGAAGCCCCGGCUAACUACGUGCCAGCAGCCGCGGUAAUACGUAGGGGGCAAGCGUUAUCCGGAAUCACUGGGCGUAAAGGGUGCGUAGGCGGCUUAGCAAGCCAGGGGUGAAAGGCAUUGGCUCAACCAAUGUAAGCCUUUGGAACUGUUAAGCUUGAGUGCAGGAGAGGUAAGUGGAAUUCCUAGUGUAGAGGUGAAAUUCGUAGAUAUUAGGAGGAACACCAGUGGCGAAGGCGACUUACUGGACUGUAACUGACGCUGAUGCACGAAAGCGUGGGUAGCGAACAGGAUUAGAUACCCUGGGGGGCACAGAG